GACGCGGGGUAGAGACAUUCCGUGUGCGGGGACCCGCUGACCCAGAAGAUGCAAGGAGCCUCCUGUGUGUUCAGCAACGCCAGAGCCCCGAAGGCACAGAGGGCCCUGUGGAAAGCACAGACGCGGAUGCUCGAUGCCUGCUGUCCUCUGCCCACUGCCCAGCUCUUGGGCUGCUCUGUGCUCUGCACGGGCCACACCUGCCGUGCCCAGCCCCCACCCUGCCGCUGCUCUCCCCUCCCCACGUGGAGUGCGUGGAGCAGAAGGGCUGGGGUGGAGCCCCAGGGCUGCUCCUGCUGCUCCAGGUCUCCAGGGCGGAGGGAAACACGCCUUUCCCCCAACCCUCCACGCCCAGCUCCUCUGCUCAGGCACCAGUUAGGAACUCAAGCCUCCCCCAGAAGCUCCUAAAAUCUCCUGGUGCACAAAGAGCCAUUGACAGUUCCCUGGCUCCAGGCAAGGCCGACAGUCUUCCUGACCAGGAGUGUCCACACCCUGUGGCUGGAAUCGGGGAGUGGGACUCUGAUGGUUGAGCUUCAAGCCCACCCUGGUGAACACAUCAGGAUGUGUGGGGACCUCUCCCGAGAAUUGCAGGCAUCCUCACAUCCUGGUUCCUCCCACCCGCCAGGCAUUGAGCAGAAUCUCCAACACCCAAGUCAGUGACCCCAGAAGGCCCAAGGGGCUCUCCACAUUUCUUCUAGCUCAUUCCAUCUUUAGCCACCAGUGCUGGAACCGAGGAGACCUCUUCCUGGGCUUAAUCAUUUCAGCAAUGCAGCGACAGAAUGACCCAGCAAGAGGAAGUGGGGUUGGCAGAGAGCCUUCCGCCUGUGCUGGAGAAGAGAGACGCCUCACCUGCCCCAGAGCGCCACCCACCCUGAGAGACAGCCAGGACAGCAGGCGCUGGGCCCACGGGGCUCCUCUGCGAAGCCCGAGGCGAGAAGAAAGACAGCAGGGAAAGCUUGCCCUUGCCCAGCGGAAGAGACAGGCUGGACCAGGACAGCCAGUCUGCAAGGCAGCGACUACAAAUGCACGGCCAGAGGUUCCUGGAAGACCACGUGGAGGAAGAGGCCACAGCUGCCAACAGAGGGGGCCAGCGCCUCAGUGUGACAACACCAGGGUGGGCCUUCCAGCUUGGAAGCACAAGUCCACGCCACUCCUGGGAGUGUGUCUGUGUAACAGGGCCCAGGCCCCUCUGCUGGUUUCCAACCUGCAGUGCUCUCUGAGCAGACUCUGUGAUUUGCGGUGCAGGCCACCCAGGGACUUUAAUCUUCACCGUGACAAAU
rnacentral:lncRNA from 1 species